rnacentral:rRNA from 1 species
UACGAAGGGAGCUAGCGUUGUUCGGAAUCACUGGGCGUAAAGCGCACGUAGGCGGAUGUGUCAGUCAGGGGUGAAAUCCCGGAGCUCAACUUCGGAACUGCCUUUGAUACAGCACGUCUUGAGUCCGAUAGAGGUGGGUGGAAUUCCUAGUGUAGCGGUGAAAUGCGCAGAUAUCAGGAAGAACACCCGUGGCGAAGGCGGCUCUCUGGGACGGUACUGACGCUGAGACGCGAAAGCGUGGGGGAGCGAACAGGG